rnacentral:rRNA from 1 species
AUUGAACGCUGGCGGCAGGCUUAACACAUGCAAGUCGAGCGGAGAUGAGGUGCUUGCACCUUAUCUUAGCGGCGGACGGGUGAGUAAUGCUUAGGAAUCUGCCUAUUAGUGGGGGACAACAUUCCGAAAGGAAUGCUAAUACCGCAUACGUCCUACGGGAGAAAGCAGGGGACCUUCGGGCCUUGCGCUAAUAGAUGAGCCUAAGUCGGAUUAGCUAGUUGGUGGGGUAAAGGCCUACCAAGGCGACGAUCUGUAGCGGGUCUGAGAGGAUGGUCCGCCACACUGGGACUGAGACACGGCCCAGACUCCUACGGGAGGCAGCAGUGGGGAAUAUUGGACAAUGGGCGGAAGCCUGAUCCAGCCAUGCCGCGUGUGUGAAGAAGGCCUUUUGGUUGUAAAGCACUUUAAGCGAGGAGGAGGCUACUUAGAUUAAUACUCUAGGAUAGUGGACGUUACUCGCAGAAUAAGCACCGGCUAACUCUGUGCCAGCCGCCGCCGUAAAAC